rfam:Lactobacillus kunkeei strain LAko contig004, whole genome shotgun sequence.
GGGGGCGUUAUGGAUUCGACGGGUAUAGUUCGAAUUCGGAUUGCGUUCGCAGCGGCGUCUGCUCAACCGUCCAGUUUUUAAAUUAUAACUGCAAACAAUAAUUCAAACAACGUCGCUUUAGCUGCCUAAUAAGCAGUCUACGACAAUCCAACUAGCUUUGCCUAGGGGCUAACUUGGGUUUUAUAAUUGAUAGGCUUACGUUACUUGCUCACACCUGAAGUUAAGUAAAAGAGAGUAAUCAGGUUAGCUGAUCAUGUUAACCCUGGAAUACGGUGCUUUGGUCAGUGAAACUCCAAAUAGUAUCCCUAUGAGCGUAGAUAUUCGAAUGGCGAUAUGCUCGGACGCGGGUUCGACUCCCGCCGCCUCCAUAC